GGCCCUAUCGUCUAGCGGUUCAGGACGGCUCCCUCUCACGGAGCAAACCCGGGUUCGAGUCCCGGUAGGGUCACCA
rnacentral:tRNA from 1 species